rnacentral:rRNA from 1 species
GUUUCCGUAGGUGAACCUGCGGAAGGAUCAUUAACGAGUUCUGACAUGGGUUGUAGCUGGCCUUACGAGGGAUGUGCACGCCCUGCUCAUCCACUCUACACCUGUGCACUUACUGUGGGUUUGGGGUGGGCUUCGGGGGCCUUCGCGGGCUUUCGAGGCAUUCUGCCUGCCUUUGUAUCACUACAAACACUAUAAAGUAACGGAAUGUAAUCGCGUCUAACGCAUCUUAAUACAACUUUCAGCAACGGAUUUCUUGGCUCUCGCAUCGAUGAAGAACGCAGCGAAAUGCGAUAAGUAAUGUGAAUUGCAUAAUUCAGUGAAUCAUCGAUUCUUUGAACGCUCCUUGCGCUCCUUGUUAUUCCGAGGAGCAUGCCUGUUUGAGUGUCAUGUUAUUCUCAACCCACACAUCCUUGUGAUGUUCGUAGGGUUUGUACUUGGAGGUUUGCUGGCCGUCGCGGUCGGCUCCUCUUGAAUGCAUUAGCUUGGUUCCUUGCGGAUCGGCUCUCAGUGUGAUAAUUGUUUACGCGGUGCGACCGUGAAGCGUUUGGGGAGCUUCUAACCGUCCUGCUAGGGACAAACUUCCUUGACAUCUGACCUCAAAUCAGGUAGGACUACCCGCUGAACUUAAGCAUAUCAAUAAGCGGAGGAAAAAAAACUAACAAGGAGUCCCCUAGUAACUGCGAGAGAGGGGGGGAAAAAA